rnacentral:misc_RNA from 1 species
AAGCCGUAACAAGGUUUCCGUAGGUGAACCUGCGGAAGGAUCAUUACAACGUAUCCACGUACAAACUCGCGAACUGUUCCCCUUUAGAGUAAACACUUGUGGAUGAAGUCAAAGGCUGAGAGCUUUCGCUAAUGGAGUUCUGGAUUUUCAUCUAGGACUGAAGGCACUCGGUCGCAGCCUCUGGCUGGGACUUCGUUUACUCUAUUGCGGUUUUGCCUGCCAUUAGAGGUGUGUUGUACCCAAUAUUAACCCCAUGUAAAUUUUGACCUGAACUUGUUAACAGAGUCUGCUGCUGUCCUUGUUGGCUUCGGUCACGGACUGCGCAAAGGCAGCUCAGUUACCUUAUUUACUAAACAAAGAACAACUCUUAACAACGGAUAUCUUGGUUCUC